UACGGAAGGCAGCAGUGGGGAAUAUUGCACAAUGGGCGCAAGCCUGAUGCAGCCAUGCCGCGUGUAUGAAAAAGGCCUUCGGGUUGUAAAGUACUUUCAGUCGUGAGGAAGGUGUUAAGGUUAAUAACCUUAGCAAUUGACGUUAGCGACAGAAGAAGCACCGGCUAACUCCGUGCCAGCAGCCGCGGUAAUACGGAGGGUGCGAGCGUUAAUCGGAAUUACUGGGCGUAAAGGGCACGCAGGCGGUUAAUUAAGUUGGAUGUGAAAUCCCCGGGCUUAACCUGGGAAUGGCAUUCAAGACUGGUUAGCUAGAGUCUUGUAGAGGGGGGUUAGAAUUCCAUGUGUAGCGGUGAAAUGCGUAGAGAUGUGGAGGAAUACCGGUGGCGAAGGCGGCCCCUGGACAAAGACUGACGCUCAUGUGCGAAAGCGUGGGGAGCGAAACAGGGAUUAGAUACC
rnacentral:rRNA from 1 species